AUGUACUGGGGGGCUUUGGGGAGAAAAAAGGAAAAAAUAAAAUCUUUAAAAAAAAAAAAAUUGAGUCCAGCUAACAUCAUCCCAGUAGGAGAGACUAGGUUAGAUCCUAGGGUAGGGGUGAAUUCCUUUGCAGCCAAGCAGAGGUUCUGAGAGGUGGCCUGUGCUUUGGGGUGAGGCUCUUCCUAUAGGGACAAGCACAGCCCACUCUCCCCUCCUUGGAAUCUGAACACAUACUUGGCCUCAGCCUCUCCCCGCCUCUCUCUAGGACAUAGUCUCAUGGCCCUUACCACCCUCUCUGCUUUCUCUCUCUUCUCACAUGGAGACCACCUCCACCUCGGCGCUCUCCCUCUCACCUCCCACAGCUCUCACUCUAGAACUGUAGCAGAGGCAGCAAGAGUGUGGAGGUGGAGAGGACACUGCUGACUCUGUUCUGCCAUGGGCUGGGGCAUUUUUAUUUAGGCCAGUGAGUCACCAUACCUGUCUGUAAUCUCCGUCAUGCUCCCACCCUCUCUUCACUCUCUCCACCCCCAGCUCCCAGAACAACGCCCACCUGGGCUCCUACUCAGUCACCAGGAGUCUGGUCUGGGUUGUUGCAUUCCAGCCUUCCCAAGGUUCCAGUGUCCCAGAAACCCAAGGAAAUCAACACUCAGGACUCCCAGAGAGGGUGGCGUCUAGAAGACACAGAGCUCCUGCAGGGCAGGGAGGACUGAGACUGCUUCUUGGGGUUGUCACCAUCACCUGGCACCCCACACAGUUGAUGCUCAAUAAAUGAUUGCUGGAUGGGCAAACAGAUGAGCCAAUGAGUGGUUUGGAGUGUCUCUGCCUAGAGAGCUUCAAAGAAGAGCAGACAACCAUCUCUUCUGUCCAGUCCAAAGACAUUAUUCGCCUGCCCAACGGCUGAGGGCUGUGCCAAUGUUUUCUCAAGGACCCAGGCAUGCUGCUCCCCAGCACGUCCCUUCUUUAGGCACACAGGGGGCCUCCCAAGCAGUGACAUCUGAGGAGUUUCAUCAGGAGCCACCUGGGGUGACUGCAGGUACUUGUCCAUCAUCUGUCUCUUCCACUAGGAUGGACAUGCCAUGGGAGCAGGGACCUGUCUGUCGGCUGCCACUGUAGCCCUGACCUAGGACACUGCCUGGCUGUGAGAGUCCCGUUGAAUGAGUAAAUGUUUUAUCUUCCUCUGCACUGGCACUGGAAGAUCAUCUUCCAGAGGUAAAGAGAUUUAAAACAAAAGUUGAAAAUAAAGAAAACCUGGAGCUUCUCAAAAAAACUUCCCAAGCAGCCUAGGAAAGGGGUUUUUGAAAGAGGUACCAUCUAG